rnacentral:tRNA from 1 species
ACUCUAAUAGUUUACUCAAAACAUUGGUCUUGUAAACCAAAGAAUGAAGGCUACCCCCUUCUUAGAGUU